GCCGCAAUAGCUCAGUUGGGAGAGCGUUAGACUGAAGAUCUAAAGGUCACGUGUUCGAUCCACGUUUGUGGCA